AUUUAACUCUGUCGGCAGUCCUAACACAUGCAAGUCUGGCGAGCGGCGGACGGGUGAGUAAUGUAUGGGCAUCUGCCUGAUGGCGGGGGUCAACUACUGGAAACGGUAGCUACAACCGCUCACCAUCAGAUGAACCGAUAUGGGAUUAGCUUGUAGGUAGGGUAACGGCUGACCUAGGCGACGAUCCCUAGCUGGUCUGAGAGGAUGAUCAGCCACACUGGAACUGAGACACGGCCCAGACUCCUACGGGAGGCAGCAGUGGGGAAUAGUGCACAAUGGGCGCAAGCCUGAUGCAGCCAUGCCGCGUGUAUGAAGAAGGCCUUCGGGUUGUAAAGUACUUUCAGUCGGGAGGCGUUAACUACAGAAGAAGCACCGGCUAACUCCGUGCCAGCAGCCGCGGUAAUUC
rnacentral:rRNA from 1 species